rnacentral:rRNA from 1 species
UACAGAGGUCUCAAGCGUUGUUCGGAUUCAUUGGGCGUAAAGGGUGCGUAGGUGGCAUGGUCAGUCGGAUGUGAAAUCCCGGGGCUCAACCCCGGAACUGCAUUCGAUACUGCCGAGCUAGAGUACUGGAGAGGAGAUUGGAAUUUACGGUGUAGCAGUGAAAUGCGUAGAUAUCGUAAGGAAGACCAGUGGCGAAGGCGGAUCUCUGGACAGUUACUGACACUGAGGCACGAAGGCCAGGGGAGCAAACGGG